rnacentral:rRNA from 1 species
GACGAACGCUGGCGGCGUGCUUAACACAUGCAAGUCGAACGUGAUUUUUGUGGAAAUUCUUUCGGGAAUGGAAAUGAAAUGAAAGUGGCGAACGGGUGAGUAACACGUGAGCAACCUACCUUACACAGGGGGAUAGCCGUUGGAAACGACGAUUAAUACCGCAUGAGACCACAGAAUCGCAUGAUAUAGGGGUCAAAGAUUUAUCGGUGUAAGAAGGGCUCGCGUCUGAUUAGCUAGUUGGAAGGGUAAAGGCCUACCAAGGCGACGAUCAGUAGCCGGUCUGAGAGGAUGAACGGCCACAUUGGAACUGAGACACGGUCCAAGCUCCUACGGGAGGCAGCAGUGGGGAAUAUUGCACAAUGGGGGGAACCCUGAUGCAGCGACGCCGCGUGAGCGAAGAAGGUUUUCGAAUCGUAAAGCUCUGUCCUAUGAGAAGAUAAUGACGGUAGCAUAGGAGGAAGCCCCGGCUAAAUACGUG